CCUCCCUGCCUGGACCGUGUAAUCCCGCCCAACCCAACCUAUUUCUAGCUGUUUACUAGGUUUACCAGGCUGGUAUCGCGUAGUAAAGGGGAAUCCACUGGUUUAUAUACAGGGAUGAUAUGGGUAAUCAGCUAAGCACCUGGAAUUUAACAAUCCAAUCAGCUGUAGACGGGCCUAACUUCAACUAUAAUUCAGAAUAUAAUCAGGAGCCUUAUAUCUUUGCCGACUACCGAAACUUCUAUAUUGGUAUUGGCGCAACAGCCCUAGCAGCUCUACUUCUUAUUCUCUUCAAUAUUGUACUCGGCUGCAAAUACAAGAAGUACUGGUACAGCAGGUAUAGCGGAAAUCGGUUUUUACUUCCGGUCUUUGUACUUCCACCUAAAGAUCAGACCCCACUAGAUAUCUAAACAGCCAGUAUGUUUGUUAUGUGGCCUUGGAUAGGCCUAAUAUCCUCUUUGACGGUCAUAUCAGCGGUCUUCGUUAUCAAGCUUGCAAAAAGAUGUGGAGUGAGGAUGACGACAUUACCUGACAGAACUGUAAGUUCCUACUUAGACCAGGAGGACAAUUUUGUCGUGAUGGAAGAUGGAACUGUGGACUAUAACCUGCAGACUAUGGA